rnacentral:ncRNA from 3 species
GGGUCGUGGGUUCGGGCCCCACGUUGGGCGCCA